GUGCCAGCAGCCGCGGUAAUACGAAGGGAGCUAGCGUUGUUCGGAAUUACUGGGCGUAAAGGGCGCGUAGGCGGCUCUUUUAGUCAGGCGUGAAAGCCCCGGGCUCAACCUGGGAACAGCGCUUGAUACUGGAGGGCUUGAGUGCGGGAGAGGAUGGUGGAAUUCCCAGUGUAGAGGUGAAAUUCGUAGAUAUUGGGAAGAACACCGGUGGCGAAGGCGGCCAUCUGGACCGCAACUGACGCUGAGGCGCGAAAGCGUGGGGAGCAAACAGGAUUAGAAACCCUUGUAGUCC
rnacentral:rRNA from 1 species